rnacentral:rRNA from 1 species
CUUCGGGGUGUGACUGCGUACCUUUUGUAUAAUGGGUCAGCGACUUAUAUUCUGUAGCAAGGUUAACCGAAUAGGGGAGCCGGAGGGAAACCGAGUCUUAAUUGGGCGUUAAGUUGCAGGGUAUAGACCCGAAACCCGGUGAUCUAGCCAUGGGCAGGUUGAAGGUUGGGUAACACUAACUGGAGGACCGAACCGACUAAUGUUGAAAAAUUAGCGGAUGACCUGUGGCUGGGGGUGAAAGGCCAAUCAAACCGGGAGAUAGCUGGUUCUCCCCGAAAGCUAUUUAGGUAGCGCCUCGUGAAUUCAUCUCCGGGGGUAGAGCACUGUUUCGGCUAGGGGGCCAUCCCGGCUUACCAACCCGAUGCAAACUGCGAAUACCGGAGAAUGUUAUCACGGGAGACACACGGCGGGUGCUAACGUCCGUCGUGAAGAGGGAAACAACCCAGACCGCCAGCUAAGGUCCCAAAGUCAUGGUUAAGUGGGAAACGAUGUGGGAAGGCCCAGACAGCCAGGAUGUUGGCUUAGAAGCAGCCAUCAUUUAAAGAAAGCGUAAUAGCUCACUGGUCGAGUCGGCCUGCGCGGAAGAUGUAACGGGGCUAAACCAUGCACCGAAGCUGCGGCAGCGACACUGUGUGUUGUUGGGUAGGGGAGCGUUCUGUAAGCCUGUGAAGGUGUGUCGUGAGGCAUGCUGGAGGUAUCAGAAGUGCGAAUGCUGACAUAAGUAACGAUAAAGCGGGUGAAAAGCCCGCUCGCCGGAAGACCAAGGGUUCCUGUCCAACGUUAAUCGGGGCAGGGUGAGUCGACCCCUAAGGCGAGGCCGAAAGGCGUAGUCGAUGGGAAACGGGUUAAUAUUCCCGUACUUGGUGUUACUGCGAAGGGGGGACGGAGAAGGCUAUGUUGGCCGGGCGACGGUUGUCCCGGUUUAAGCGUGUAGGUGUGUGUUCCAGGUAAAUCCGGUUCACUUUAACACUGAGGCGUGACGACGAGGCACUACGGUGCUGAAGCAACAAAUGCCCUGCUUCCAGGAAAAGCCUCUAAGCAUCAGGUAACAUCAAAUCGUACCCCAAACCGACACAGGUGGUCAGGUAGAGAAUACCAAGGCGCUUGAGAGAACUCGGGUGAAGGAACUAGGCAAAAUGGUGCCGUAACUUCGGGAGAAGGCACGCUGACACGUAGGUGAAGUGAUUUACUCAUGGAGCUGAAGUCAGUCGAAGAUACCAGCUGGCUGCAACUGUUUAUUAAAAACACAGCACUGUGCAAACACGAAAGUGGACGUAUACGGUGUGACGCCUGCCCGGUGCCGGAAGGUUAAUUGAUGGGGUCAGCGCAAGCGAAGCUCCUGAUCGAAGCCCCGGUAAACGGCGGCCGUAACUAUAACGGUCCUAAGGUAGCGAAAUUCCUUGUCGGGUAAGUUCCGACCUGCACGAAUGGCGUAAUGAUGGCCAGGCUGUCUCCACCCGAGACUCAGUGAAAUUGAACUCGCUGUGAAGAUGCAGUGUACCCGCGGCAAGACGGAAAGACCCCGUGAACCUUUACUAUAGCUUGACACUGAACAUUGAGCCUUGAUGUGUAGGAUAGGUG